GGUAAAGUGGCUCAGUGGUAGAGUGCUUGCCUUGCAUGCAUAAGGCCCUGGGUUCGAUUCCUCAGCACCA
rnacentral:tRNA from 1 species